ACUAAGUGCGUAAGCGAUUGAAAUGGCAUCCUUUUUAUUGUCAGUUCGAGUAAAUUUGAGAAGAAUGAACAAAUUUGUAUCGAGAACAAAAUAAAAAGAUAUAAUGGAAAGCGCGGUUUUGU
rnacentral:sRNA from 1 species